UGAGAGAUCAACUGAAGAAUGCUAUGGACCUGACUCUAAGGAAUUGAUUUUACAGCAGCACUUAUCAUGUUGCCAGCCUUGUUCAGCGAGAAACUUCAACAUUUUGCUGUACUCAGGAUUGCAAAGCGGGUAGUCACCUUACAGCAAAAAGGUCGCU